rnacentral:ncRNA from 1 species
AGGUCUUGGUCUUGAACCUCAUAUUACCUAAAAACAUUUGUUUAUACAUGCAAGCCUCAUCACAACGGUGAAACAGCUAUAAUAACAUUAGAGCCGGCAUCAGUCUAUACACCACGACGCCAAGCAACAGCCACACCCCCACGGGCAACACAGCAGUAGUUAAUAUUAGGCCAUAAGUGAAAACUUGACCAAGCAAAAUGUAACACAGGGCCGGUUAAUAUCGUGCCAGCGACCGCGGUUAUACGAUAUGCCCAAGAUAAUAUUAUCGGCGUAAAAAUGACUAAAACAAAGUCCUUAAUUUAGGGAAAAAGCCAAACUAGGCCGUAGAAAGCCAUAAGCCACACUAAUAACCCUAAUAUUACACAACUUUAACUCAUGAAAGCUAAGAUACAAACUAAGAUUAGAUACCCUACUAUGCCUAGCCGUAACAGACAAUUAAAAUACCAAUUGUUCGCCAAACAACUACGAGUCAUACUUAAAACUUAAAAGACUUGACGGUACUUCACCACGCCCUAGAGGAGCCUGUCCAAUAACCGACGACCCACGAUUAACCCAACCCCUUCUAGCCCAACAGUCUAUAUACCGCCGUCGCCAGCUUACCUUGUAAAAGAAAUAAAGUGAGCUAAACAGUACUUCACUAAGACGACAGGUCGAGGUGUAACUUAUGAAGAGGUCAAGAUGGGCUACAUUCUCCAACAGAGAAUACGAACAACACUACGAAAUUAGUUUUUAAAGGCGGAUUUAGCAGUAAGAUAAGAAUAGAAUACCUAACUGAACAUAUCGCAAUGAAGUGCGUACACACCGCCCGUCAUCCCUGCACUACAAUACUAAACUUCAAUAAACCAACCUUAAAAAUCAACCAGGGCAAGUCGUAACAUGGUAAGUGUACUGGAAAGUGUACUUAGAAA